rnacentral:rRNA from 1 species
AGCGAACGCUGGCGGCGUGCUUAACACAUGCAAGUCGAGCGAAGGUGUUUCAAGGGUAACCUUGAGAUACACUUAGCGGCGGACGGGUGAGUAAUACGUGGAUAACUUACCUCUAGGCCUGGGAUAACCCCGGGAACGUGGGGCUAAUACCUGAUAAGACCACAUUGUCUACGGACAAAGGGGUAAAGGUGGCUGUGCAAACAGCUAUCGCCAAAAGAUAGGUUCACGUCCCAUCAGGCAGUUGGUGAGGUAAUGGCUCACCAAACCAAAGACGGGUAGCCGGCCUU